rnacentral:tRNA from 1 species
UGGCUCAGAUGGUAAAGCGUCUGGCUGCAAUGCAGAAGACCUGGGUUCAAUCCCUG